rnacentral:rRNA from 1 species
UACGUAGGGGGCGAGCGUUGUCCGGAGUUACUGGGCGUAAAGCGCACGUAGGCGGUUCGUUAAGUCGGAUGUGAAAGCCCUCGGCUCAACUCCAGAACUGCCUUCGAUACUGGCGAUCUCGAGUCCGGAAGAGGUGAGUGGAACUCCUAGUGUAGAGGUGGAAUUCGUAGAUAUUAGGAAGAACACCAGUGGCGAAGGCGGCUCACUGGUCCGGUACUGACGCUGAGGUGCGAAAGCGUGGGGAGCAACAGG